rnacentral:rRNA from 1 species
GACAGAGGUCCCGAGCGUUAGGCGGAAUCACUGGGCUUAAAGCGUGUGUAGGCGGAUCUGUAAGUACCUUGUGAAAUCCCACGGCUCAACCGUGGAACUGCUGGGUAUACUGCGGAUCUUGAGCCACCUAGGGGCGAGCGGAACAAGUGGUGGAGCGGUGAAAUGCGUAGAUAUCACUUGGAACGCCAAUGGUGAAAACAGCUCGCUGGGGGUGUGCUGACGCUGAGACACGAAAGCCAGGGGAGCAAACGGG